rnacentral:rRNA from 1 species
AUUGAACGCUGGCGGCAUGCUUUACACAUGCAAGUCGAACAGUAACAGGCCGCAAGGUGCUGACGAGUGGCGAACGGGUGCGUAAUGCAUCGGAACGUGCCCAGUCGUGGGGGAUAACUACUCGAAAGAGUAGCUAAUACCGCAUACGAUCUAUGGAUGAAAGCGGGGGACCGUAAGGCCUCGCGCGAUUGGAGCGGCCGAUGUCAGAUUAGGUAGUUGGUGGGGUAAAGGCUCACCAAGCCAACGAUCUGUAGCUGGUCUGAGAGGACGACCAGCCACACUGGGACUGAGACACGGCCCAGACUCCUACGGGAGGCAGCAGUGGGGAAUUUUGGACAAUGGGCGCAAGCCUGAUCCAGCAAUGCCGCGUGCAGGAAGAAGGCCUUCGGGUUGUAAACUGCUUUUGUACGGAACGAAACGGCUCUGGUUAAUACCCGGGGCUAAUGACGGUACCGUAAGAAUAAGCACCGGCUAACUACGUG